GUUGCGCGUGCUAUACUGCAAGUCGAACGCACAGCGAAUUGGCUUGCCCUUUCAGUAGCGUUAAGACCGAGUACACUCGGACACCUGCCUCAGGCUGGUUUAAUCGGGGAAAAGAUUACCUACCGAGUUGGCUUAGUUUCGCCGUCCACAACUGGAAGACGCUUCGGCGUCACCUAAAGUCCUAUCCGCGGUGCAUUACUUAUUCGGUGGGGUAAAGCCCUACCAAGGCAAUGAUGCAUAACCCAGUUGAGCGCCAUCUCGGUCACAUUGGGACUGGAACACUGCCUACUCUCCUACCGGGGACGGCAUUGGGGCGUCUUCCACAAUGGGUGAGGGCCAUCAGGCUCAACACCCCGUUAUUGAUGAAGGCUUUCGGGUCGCUUUACACCGCUGAAUGGCAAAAGCACCUAGAAUACGUAAUGAUUUUAGUUUGACGGUACCAUACCAGAAAGGGACGGCUAAAUACGUGCCAGCAGCCGCUUAAAUUCUGUGUCCCAAGCGUUAUCCGGAUUUAUUGGGCGUAAAGCGCGCGUUAAUCGUUUAUUAAGUCUGAUGUGAAAACCCGGAGCUCAACUCCGGAAUGGCAUUGAAAACUGGGUAACUUGAGUGCAGCCAAGGUAAGUGAAUCG
rnacentral:rRNA from 1 species